rnacentral:rRNA from 1 species
AGAGUUUGAUCCUGGCUCAGGAUGAACGCUAGCGGCAGGCCUAACACAUGCAAGUCGAGGGGCAGUCACGUCUUCGGACGUGAGCGACCGGCGCACGGGUGCGUAACGCGUAUGCAACCUACCUACUACAGGGGGAUAGGUCCCGGAAACGGGAAUUAAUACCGCAUAAUACUAUAAAACGGCAUUGUUUAAUAGUUAAAGCUCUUCGGAGCGGUAGCAGAUGGGCAUGCGUAUGAUUAGCUUGUUGGUGAGGUAAUGGCUCACCAAGGCAACGAUCAUUAGCGGGUCUGAGAGGAUGAUCCGCCACACUGGGACUGAGACACGGCCCAGACUCCUACGGGAGGCAGCAGUGAGGAAUAUUGGUCAAUGGGGGCAACCCUGAACCAGCCAUGCCGCGUGCAGGAAGACAGCCUUCUGGGUUGUAAACUGCUUUUAUAUAGGAACAAAAAGGUCCUGCGGGACAUAUUGAGGGUACUGUAUGAAUAAGCACCGGCUAACUCCGUGCCAGCAGCCGCGGUAAUACGGAGGGUGCAAGCGUUGUCCGGAUUUAUUGGGUUUAAAGGGUGCGUAGGCGGUCUAUUAAGUCAGUGGUGAAAGUCCUGGGCUCAACCGAGGGAUUGCCAUUGAAACUGAUGGACUUGAGUUCAGU